rnacentral:rRNA from 1 species
GGCGAACGGGCGAGUAACGAGUUGGCGAUCUGCCCCGAAAGUGUGGGAUAACAGUCCGAAAGGAUUGCUAAUACCUCAUGUGAUUACCGGGUUUAGAAGCUGGUAAUUAAAGCAGUAAUGCGCUUCGGGAGGAGCCUGCUUCCCAUCAGCUAGUUGGUGAGGUAACGGCUCACCAAGGCUACGACGGGUAAGGGACCUGAGAGGGUGGUCCCUCGCAAUGGCACUGAAACACGGGCCAUACACCUACGGGUGGCAGCAGUAGGGAAUAUUGGGCAAUGGGCGAAAGCCUGACCCAGCAACGCCGCGUGUGCGAUGAAGGCCCUCGGGUCGUAAAGCACUUUUCUGAGGAAUGAGAAAGGACAGUACCUCAGGAAUAAGUCUCGGCUAACUACGUGCCAGCAGCCGCGG